rnacentral:rRNA from 1 species
AGAGUUUGAUCAUGGCUCAGAUUGAACGCUGGCGGCAGGCCUAACACAUGCAAGUCGAGCGGUAGCACAGAGAGCUUGCUCUCGGGUGACGAGCGGCGGACGGGUGAGUAAUGUCUGGGAAACUGCCUGAUGGAGGGGGAUAACUACUGGAAACGGUAGCUAAUACCGCAUAAUGUCGCAAGACCAAAGUGGGGGACCUUCGGGCCUCAUGCCAUCAGAUGUGCCCAGAUGGGAUUAGCUAGUAGGUGGGGUAACGGCUCACCUAGGCGACGAUCCCUAGCUGGUCUGAGAGGAUGACCAGCCACACUGGAACUGAGACACGGUCCAGACUCCUACGGGAGGCAGCAGUGGGGAAUAUUGCACAAUGGGCGCAAGCCUGAUGCAGCCAUGCCGCGUGUGUGAAGAAGGCCUUCGGGUUGUAAAGCACUUUCAGCGGGGAGGAAGGCGUUAAGGUUAAUAACCUUGGCGAUUGACGUUACCCGCAGAAGAAGCACCGGCUAACUCCGUGCCAGCAGCCGCGGUAAUACGGAGGGUGCAAGCGUUAAUCGGAAUUACUGGGCGUAAAGCGCACGCAGGCGGUCUGUCAAGUCGGAUGUGAAAUCCCCGGGCUCAACCUGGGAACUGCAUUCGAAACUGGCAGGCUAGAGUCUUGUAGAGGGGGGUAGAAUUCCAGGUGUAGCGGUGAAAUGCGUAGAGAUCUGGAGGAAUACCGGUGGCGAAGGCGGCCCCCUGGACAAAGACUGACGCUCAGGUGCGAAAGCGUGGGGAGCAAACAGGAUUAGAUACCCUGGUAGUCCACGCCGUAAACGAUGUCGAUUUGGAGGUUGUGCCCUUGAGGCGUGGCUUCCGGAGCUAACGCGUUAAAUCGACCGCCCGGGGAGUACGGCCGCAAGGUUAAAACUCAAAUGAAUUGACGGGGGCCCGCACAAGCGGUGGAGCAUGUGGUUUAAUUCGAUGCAACGCGAAGAACCUUACCUGGUCUUGACAUCCACAGAACUUAGCAGAGAUGCUUUGGUGCCUUCGGGAACUGUGAGACAGGUGCUGCAUGGCUGUCGUCAGCUCGUGUUGUGAAAUGUUGGGUUAAGUCCCGCAACGAGCGCAACCCUUAUCCUUUGUUGCCAGCGGUCCGGCCGGGAACUCAAAGGAGACUGCCAGUGAUAAACUGGAGGAAGGUGGGGAUGACGUCAAGUCAUCAUGGCCCUUACGACCAGGGCUACACACGUGCUACAAUGGCAUAUACAAAGAGAAGCGACCUCGCGAGAGCAAGCGGACCUCAUAAAGUAUGUCGUAGUCCGGAUUGGAGUCUGCAACUCGACUCCAUGAAGUCGGAAUCGCUAGUAAUCGUAGAUCAGAAUGCUACGGUGAAUACGUUCCCGGGCCUUGUACACACCGCCCGUCACACCAUGGGAGUGGGUUGCAAAAGAAGUAGGUAGCUUAACCUUCGGGAGGGCGCUUACCACUUUGUGAUUCAUGACUGGGGUGAAGUCGUAACAAGGUAACCGUAGGGGAACCUGCGGUUGGAUCACCU